AUGCGAAUUCAAAAUAAGGGUAAAAUGUCAGUACCUGAUAUUCUGAGGAGUUCUCACCGAUUCGAUGCUUUGAAGAACCAUCGGAAAUACUAUGGGAGAAAAAGGCAUCAUGGACCUGGUUCAGUGGGCUUAGCAUCCAAAUUGUCUUUACUAGAUCAUGCCCCAGGAUUCUGGAUAGCACCCCCUAAAGUCCACAACAAUCAUUUUUUUGGACACUUGGAAGCUUGCAAAUAA